CUUUGUUAAAUAAUAACUAAUUAAUCACAGUUUUUAUUAAUCACAUAUUUAAUAUUAAAACUUGGAUUUAUAAAGUAUAGCUAUGUCAUUAAGUUGUUUAUGGCUUAUUAAAAUUUUUUAAAUAUUUUUAAAUAAUUAAUCGCACAGUUGUCUGUGACUUAUCCAGCCAUCAUAGUUGUGAUCAUAAGGUAUGUUUACCCAUUUAAUGCAUUACAUACAUAAGAUGUUUUAUAUCAUGUUUGUGUAAUGGUAUAUUUUUAUAUGUGCAAACAUAAUAAGCAUAAACUUAUCAAGCUACCCACAAAAAGUGGAAAAAAGAUGGCUGCCAAAUUUUAAAAGCACCUUACUGUUAAUAGCAGAAAUAAAUCUAUUACCUUUCCCAGCCAUAAUAUAUAUAUAUAUUUUUUAACUAACAAUGAAUUAAUGAUUAAUAUUUUAUACAUUUAUUAAUGUUGUAAAUGUUCAUGCUUAAAACAAUAUUGUUUUCUUAGUGUUACUAUUGUAUUAUUUCAUCUUAAUGCAACUUUUAAUUGUAUCAUUGUAUGAUAUUGUAAAUAGAAAUUAGCAUUGAUUUACAGUAUAGAAAAUAUUUUUCUACUACGUAACUGGCCUAUAUUUUUAUAAGAACCAUAUCAUACGUUACCUGUAAAUAAACUCCAGGUGGUUUUGAAGGCUUCUGCGUGAUCUGUAGAAUAUUGUGCCUUUGCGGACAGACGCUGCACGGUCUCGAUGUCUCCUGCAGAUCCUUAUGUGAUAUAAGAAAAUUAUUGAUUUAUUUGGAAGGUGCCUUUGGCUUCAAAACUGCAUAUUCAACUACUUACGCACAUAUUCAGUUAAAAACAGACCAUCAGUAGCAGUAAUAAUUAUUUUAUACUAAUUAUAAUUAGGCUAUUAAUAUUAAAUAUUAAUACACUUUAUAUUAUUAAUUUAUUUUUGCUGAAUGUGUUAAAUAUAUAGUUAACCAUUGUUAGUAAUUCAUUGGUUAUAUUAAAUCAUAGUUAAUAAAUUAUAGUAAAGAGAUUUAAUGUUACAUUACUAUUGAUAUCCAUCGUGGCGAGAGACCUUUAUUAGAUGCAUCAUGUUAUUGCAUCGGCAUUGCAUGUGACGUCGUAAGAGUCCUUUUGCUUGCAUCCACAGUAGGCUACAAUUUUGCGUUUGUUUUUCAAUGUACAUUUUGUCCUCAGCAAUCUGGUGAGCUCCUGUCUCAUUUGUGUCAUGUUUAACCCCCUUUUGAUUUUUGGCGCAAAAAAAAAUACAGCAAACUUCCGGCAACGAUCGCGGGGUUUUGGACCAAUAGCGUAUCAGAUCAGUGUAGUGGCAGGCGGGGUACUGAAGUGAUUUGCGUGUAGAGCGAUCUGAUCAGUCAUCCCAUUAACCUGUGGAAAAUUUGUUACUGUAGAAGGUAAGUAAUUUGAACUUCUUAAUAACAACUUCAAACUAAAUACCAUGUGGCUGUUUUAGGGCUAUGCGUAACUUGUUUUGUAACAAACUAUUGAAAUGAUGGCUGUUAAUUAUUACGUUUUAAUUAACGUAUUUAACGUAAUUAACGUAACGUAUUAUUAAUUAAAACGUUAACAAUUCCUUAUUAUGUAAACUGACCAGUUUAACAUUUUACAGGAAUGAUGAGUAAAAGAACGACAAAGGGAGCAGCUAAGACAGCGUCUCAAAAUGCUGCUGAAAGUGCUGGUAAGCUUCAAGUUUUAUAAACAUACAAUGUGUAACUGUUACAGACAUUUCGUGUGCAUUAAUGGAAACCUUAUUCAUGUUUUUUUGUCAAAUACCCACAGUUCGUGUGUAAAGAACAUCGUGAACGUCAUGAACGCAGAAUUACACUUACAAAAACAGACAAUUAAUAAAAAAAAUAAUAAAAUAAAAUAAAACGAAGUUUGCAGGAUACACUGAUCACGUGAUAUAGUAUAAACGCAACGUAAUGCCGACAUGUAACUUCAUAGUAACAAAUGCAAUGGUUUUUUAGUGCAGAUAUCUGCACUGAUUUAAAAUGUGCAAUAUAAUGGUUAAUUAUUAACUAUUUCCCCACCAUUGACUCCUUAUUUUGUAAAUUAAAGAGUAACUAAACCCUAAACCAACUUUUUUUAGUUAAUGAUCUGUAAGAAGGGGGCUUUAUUGGUGCUGUUCAUUGAUUUGAGUAACUUUCUUGACAUUUGGGUAUAAAGUGUUGCCCUCUUCAGGUUAAAGUGGAAGUCCACCCUAAAACAACAUCAUGCUCCAACACUAUAUUUCAUGACAUAUAUGUAGUUGAUUGUGUUGCCAUCAAAUGUACUAACUCCAUAUAAAAAAGCUUUUAAAGCUUUUAACCGCUACAGUAACGGUGUGUGACGGGUCGUCAAAUCACCGGAAGAAAAAUGCACGACUACAUAAUUCUGAACGUUCUAAAUGGGGGCGGGUCUUGAGGCGAGUUGAUUGACAGUAGAUGAUAACGUUCUUUGAUUGACAGCUGCACAGGAUGAGCUAACGUUAGCUUGCUUUGCUUGUGUUCAUAAUAACAACAACAUAAUAAUUACUUUCUACGUAGUAUGUUUACCACAGUUACACAAAACAAGCAACAACUAAGCCAAAUGAUGUUUUAGAUAUUUUUACCAUUUUACACCAAAAAACUGGUCUGAAAACAGUACUCGAAAUCUUCCUGAUGAAAGAGUUGGCUGCAUAUUAAAAUUUUUGAGUAAUCUGUUAGUGGUGUGUCAACUGAGGGUCGCGUUGAUGUAAACAAUAAAAUCUCCCGGUGGCCUUAAUUUGUUGUCCUUACAUCCAGAUACUGCACAUGUUCUAGUCAUCUUUUAUCAAGGGUUUGGGUGAUUUCCCCUUCAGACACGGUUAAAGCGGAGUUACUCUUUGGAUGGUUCGUCUGCCGGCUAACUUCAAGUUGACUUGAGUUGAUUUGAGAGCAGGUUGAGCGGUAAAAGAAAUUAUUAGGCUUGUUCAAAUUCAUGUGGCAUCGCAAUCAACAGCCGUAUGAUGUCAAAGUACCGCGAGAGCGAUUCACAAAAUCAUACAGAGGAGUUUGCUUUUAAAUCGCUCUCGCGGAACCUUGACGUCAUCCGGCUGUCAGUUCUUGCAGCGCCGCAUGUAGUCAAACAAACCUGAAGACUGCAUCGAUCAGUGGUUAGUGGGUGGAGCUAAUGACUCAGUUUCGCACAGUGCAUUCUGGUUUAUUGAGUCCAUCAAAGACCGUUAUGAAAAUUCCGCUUUAACACACUAUAAAUCUAAUAAUCGAAAUCGUGCAAAUAUCCUUUUUUUUCUCAUGUAAAAUUCAAAAUGGACAUAAAUUACUCGUUAUAACAGGCUAAAAUGUCUAGAUUGGACUUCCACUUUAAACAGUAGCUACAGCAGCUGUUUGCCCUAGGGCGAUAGUUCCUGGUUUUAUAAGUUGCGGAAGUGCACCACCUGGUGGAUAAUAGCGGUAUUGUGGAUUGACGAGAUUACUCGUCAAUGGCGGGGAAAGAGUUAAAGGUAUAGUGGAGGAUUUUCCCGAAUUUUGGAAAAGAACCACCCUCUCCACUUUAAAAAAAAUGCAAUUGCACAACACUCUACCUGCUCCUGAGAGGGGACGCCUAUUAAACAUGUGCACAGAGAGCAUGCACAGGCCUAUUUCGUCUUGUGCACGCUCUUUUUACAACUUUCUGUCGGCAUGGCUCAUACAAGAAUAAAUAAAUAAAUAAAUAAAUACUAUGGUGAACACAUUGGAAUUAUCAGAAAUGAACACACAAGGUUUUAGAACAAUUCGGCGUGAUACCUACGAGCACGUAUGACAGCCUUACGUAAACAUAUCACCAGAAUGAUUGACAACUAGGAGGACCAAUAGUCUUUAUUAGGGAUGCACCGUUAGGAUUUUUUGGGCCGAUACCGAUUUAAACAGACAACAACUGGCCGAUGCCGAUACCGAUAUUAAACACUUGUAUACAAUACUAUACAGUUGGUCUAUUAGCUAGUUUUUUUCUGCAUCAAAUUAUUUUUACUGAACAUGGAUUUGAUCUAAUUAACAUUCAACUGACCAACAUAAUAAGAGGCACAAUUAAGCUAAAACAAAUAUAAUAAGACAGCAUGACAAUCUUCAAAGGUGUUUUCUGCAAUUCAGCAUUUAUUUUAUUAACAACAUUAACUCAUUUUUUUUACAUAUAAUGGAUUUCUUUAUGCAGUUAAUUAAUAAACAAUCGGUAUCGGCCUGUCUCGUGCUAUUGCCGAUGGUUUCAAAUUCAUCAAAAAUCGGCCGAUAAAUAUCGGCGGCCGAUACAUCGGUGCAUCACUAGUCUUUAUGAUCCACCCAAAAUCCUUUGCUAUACCUUUAAGAGAAAACUCUUCCCUGCCAAUGACAAGUUUUUACUACAAUCCACACUAUUAUCCACUAGGUGGCACUCUUACACAACUUAUAAAACACUAAAUCGUCAAUGGUUUUCAAAGCUUUUUUGUUAUUUUGCUUUUUUUGUAUAUUUACAUUGCAUUUAUAUCAGAAAUAAUGCAAGUGAAUAAACAAUAAGAACAUACUUUCAAAUGUGUAGUAUGUGUUAUUUUGUCUUUAUACAAUUCCAUUGUUGCUAUAUACGGAGAUACACAUCUAUUUUCUUACGUUCCAUGACAGCAGCUAGAAGCAGAAAAGGAGAAAGGGGCUUUGAAAGAUGACACUAUUAACCUGUUAAAAGAGGACAAGGCCUAUCUUUAGUCUGAAUUGGCUCGUAAGGACGAAUUUAUCCGAGAACUUGUUUCUAACAAGAAGGAGGAAAUCCCUGGUCCAAGUGGACACUCAGAUAUGAGCCAAACUCAACAUAAACGAAAGAAGACCAAGCAACUUGAAAAGUCUGAUGAAUCAGAUGAUGACUCCUCUGUACUGUCAGACUCCUCAGUUGAACUGCUAAAGAAGCCCACAGUGCGGAAACACAUGAGGCAAACAAUGGUACCCAAAAGUGAACAUGCGCGUGUGAGAGUGAAGAACACCAAAGGCAUUGUGGCAAGGUACAAACUGGCACUAGAGGCUUUCAAAAAGGGGAGCUCUAUGAAAGCUGCCUUUGAGAGCAUGGGACUUGACCGAGCUACCUAUGCCCGCACAGCAGUAGUUGCUGAACUAAAAAUUGCUGCUCCUGAGGCCUUUGACACCAUCCCUCCAUGGAAUGAGCGUGUAGAGAAACUCUCCACAUUUAUUGAAAGAUGUCGUGCUGCAAUCAGCAGUGACAUCAAAGAGAAAAUUUCCAAAAUGAAAAUAGAUGGAGAACUUUUGCCAAUAGCCAAUAUUUUCUGAGACAUGUAGUGUUCUUAAUGUUCUUGUUAAUUUCUGGCAUUUCUUCUGGAAUUUAUUUGUUAAGCACUUGUUUGUUAGAAAGUUUGAGUUGUUAAAAGCUAUAUCUUCUCAGCCAGCCAAUAUUGCAUAUUGUGAUUUGAUGUAAUACUUUAGAAAAAUGGCUAUGUUUUUUUUUUCAUUUAUUAUAGGCAUUAUUUUUUACAUUUGCAAAUAAACCAUUGAAAAUGGAUAAUGAAUAACAUCUUCAUGAUUUCCUAACAUUUGGAUUAGAAAACUGUAUCCUGUGUGUUCACUUUACUUAAAGCCAUCAAUAAUGCAUUUAUAGAGGUUAAUAACUGCAUUAUGACUCAUAAUAAGUAACUCAUAACAUGGCUAUUUUAGAUAACAUCUUCAUGAUUUCCUUACAUUUGGAUUAGAAAACUAUCCUAUAUGUUCACUUUACUUAAAGCCAUCAAUAAUGCAUUUAUAGAGGUUAAUAACUGCAUUAUGACUCAUAAUAAGUAACUCAUAACAUGGCUAUUUUAGAUAACAUCUUCAUGAUUUCCUUACAUUUGGAUUAGAAAACUAUCCUAUAUGUUCACUUUACUUAAAGCCAUCAAUAAUGCAUUUAUAGAGGUUAAUAACUGCAUUAUGACUCAUAAUAAGUAACUCAUAACAUGGCUAUUUUAGAUAACAUCUUCAUGAUUUCCUUACAUUUGGAUUAGAAAACUGUAUCCUAUGUGUUCACUUUACUUAAAGCCAUCAAUAAUGCAUUUAUAGAGGUUAAUAACUGCAUUAUGACUCAUAAUAAGUAACUCAUAACAUGGCUAUUUUAGAUAACAUCUUCAUGAUUUCCUUACAUUUGGAUUAGAAAA